rnacentral:rRNA from 1 species
AGCGAACGCUGGCGGCAGGCUUAACACAUGCAAGUCGAGCGGGCGUAGCAAUACGUCAGCGGCAGACGGGUGAGUAACGCGUGGGAACGUACCUUUUGGUUCGGAACAACACAGGGAAACUUGUGCUAAUACCGGAUAAGCCCUUACGGGGAAAGAUUUAUCGCCGAAAGAUCGGCCCGCGUCUGAUUAGCUAGUUGGUGAGGUAAUGGCUCACCAAGGCGACGAUCAGUAGCUGGUCUGAGAGGAUGAUCAGCCACAUUGGGACUGAGACACGGCCCAAACUCCUACGGGAGGCAGCAGUGGGGAAUAUUGGACAAUGGGCGCAAGCCUGAUCCAGCCAUGCCGCGUGAGUGAUGAAGGCCCUAGGGUUGUAAAGCUCUUUUGUGCGGGAAGAUAAUGACGGUACCGCAAGAAUAAGCCCCGGCUAACUCUGUGCCAGCCGCCGCAGUAACAC